rnacentral:lncRNA from 1 species
GACCCUUUCAGAUACCUGGCAUGAGGUUAACUGGGAUAUUUAUUGGUUGCUGGAAGUGCCGCUCUGCUCUGAGAGAUGUUCUCCAUCCAGACGGGAUCCGGGAAUGGAAAAAAAACACCCGGCCAGCCAAGGUGUGCACGUGGAGCCCCCUGUUCCCUGGUGCGUGUGUGAGUGUCCAGAGAACACCUCUGGGGUCCCCAUCGGGAGACGUGAAGGCUCAUCUCAUGACUGUGCGCUGCAUCCCCUCAGUCGGUCUCUGCUGGGUUCUCAGCCUGGAGAGAAGCAAACCAGCCAGCCGGCUCCCGCCUCAACCUGGUUCAGGACUGCGCUGUCGGAACACCACCCUCGCAACGUUGUGUCUCCCUGUUCACACCUUCUCGCAUGCUAGGACUUCACCCCACCAGCCUCAUGUGUGCCUUCUCUACGAUGACAGGAAAAGAAAAGAACCUGAGCAUCACGAGGGGCCAGGAGCUGCCCAAGCAAUCUCCCUCUUUGCUCCCGUGUGGGCCACACAGC